rnacentral:rRNA from 1 species
GACGAACGCUGGCGGCGUGCUUAACACAUGCAAGUCGAACGGUGAACCUCUUCGGAGGGGAUCAGUGGCGAACGGGUGAGUAACACGUGGGCAACCUGCCCCCGGCUCUGGGAUAACUCCAAGAAAUUGGGGCUAAUACCGGAUGUUCACCGCUUCCCGCAUGGGUGGUGGUGGAAAGGGUUUCCGGCUGGGGAUGGGCCCGCGGCCUAUCAGCUUGUUGGUGGGGUAGUGGCCUACCAAGGCGACGACGGGUAGCCGGCCUGAGAGGGUGACCGGCCACAGGGGGGAGGAGCGAGGGCCCGGAGUCCGGCGGGGGGGGGGGGGGGGGAUGGGUGGGGAGGGGGGGGGGGCGGGAGGAGGCGGGCCCGGGGGGGGGAGGACGGCCUUGGGGUUGUAAACCUCUUUCAGCGGGGAGGAAGCGGAAGUGAGGGUACCGAAAGAAGAAGCCCGGGCCAACUACGGG